AGCAGCGUGGCUCAGUGGCAAGAGGCCGGGCUUGGGAGUCAGAGGUCACGGGUUCGAAUCCCGUCUCUGCCC
rfam:Ornithorhynchus anatinus chromosome 12, whole genome shotgun sequence.